UAGGGAAUAUUGCAAAAUGGGCGAAAGCCCGAUGCAGCAACGCCGCGUGGGCGAUGAAGGCCUUCGGGUCGUAAAGCCCUUUUUGAGGGGAUGAGGAAGGACAGUACCCUCAGAAUAAGCCUCGGCUAACUACGUGCCAGCAGCCGCGGUAAAACGUAGGAGGCGAGCGUUAUCCGGAUUUACUGGGCGUAAAGCGCGUGCAGGCGGAUUGGAGAGUUGGAUGUGAAAGCUCCCGGCUUAACUGGGAGAGGUCGUUCAAUACUUCCAGUCUUGAGUGCAGUAGAGGGAAGUGGAAUUCCGGGUGUAGUGGUGAAAUGCGUAGAUAUCCGGAGGAACACCAGUGGCGAAAGCGGCUUCCUGGACUGUAACUGACGCUCAGACGCGAAAGCGUGGGUAGCAAACA
rnacentral:rRNA from 1 species